AACCCAAUUUUCUAUAAAUUCACUGCAUAUUAAUGAAAAAAACUAAAUGAUCCCCUGAAUUUGCAACACACCAAUCCAUAUAUAAAUGAACUUUUCUAAUACUUUAAGGUGUACUAGGUAAUAAGAAUUUAAACAAAUGGUGUCAUACAAUUUUUAAGUAAAAAACCAUCUGCCAUGGCUAGGGGAAAGAAAAGCAGCUAUGAGUGGUAUACUGAAAUUAUUAUCCGAAAGCAAAUUUGAAGUUCGAAAGUUACAGUUAUUGCUUUUUUAUUGCUCUCUAGAUUCCUCUCCAAGAAUAUGGCACCAGUCAACAAAGUAUUUUUUAGCUAUAUAUUCCAGAUUAUUCAUCUGGACUAGACAUGAUUGGAGAGAAACUAUUAAUGAAUGUAUUGUUACAAGGCGAAUAAGAAAUGUAACAACAGCACAUGGGAGGGGAACCUAGCUUUAGGACCUAACAAAAGCCAAAAUGCGUAAUCAUGCUUGUUGCUUAUGUUUAUUUUCUUUGUACAUAUAUAACAAACUAGGCGUCUUUGAAGUUUUACCUAGCAGUGGUUCCAUCAUCUGGG
rnacentral:misc_RNA from 1 species